rnacentral:rRNA from 1 species
ACUCCUACGGGAGGCAGCAGUGGGGAAUAUUGCACAAUGGGCGCAAGCCUGAUGCAGCCAUGCCGCGUGUGUGAAGAAGGCCUUCGGGUUGUAAAGCACUUUCAGUCGUGAGGAAGGUAGUGUAGUUAAUAGCUGCAUUAUUUGACGUUAGCGACAGAAGAAGCACCGGCUAACUCCGUGCCAGCAGCCGCGGUAAUACGGAGGGUGCGAGCGUUAAUCGGAAUUACUGGGCGUAAAGCGCAUGCAGGUGGUUUGUUAAGUCAGAUGUGAAAGCCCGGGGGCUCAACCUCGGAAUAGCAUUUGAAACUGGCAGACUAGAGUACUGUAGAGGGGGGUAGAAUUUCAGGUGUAGCGGUGAAAUGCGU